rnacentral:misc_RNA from 1 species
AACGCACAUUGCGCCUUUUGGUAUUCCGAGAGGCACGCCUGUCUGAGCGUCAGUAAUACCUUCGGUUUGACGAUUUAUUGUCUCGCCGGCGUUGGCGGUUUUGGGUAACCGCGGGGCAACCCGCGGCCAUUCUGCUCAAACACUGACAGCGGUCGAGUUCUUACCCCCACCGAUUAGUAGAAAUAUUUAUCGUUCAAGGGUUUGGAUUCUUCGUAAUACAAAAUUGGGGCCUGCAAAGGGCUAACCCCACAAUUUUGACCUCAGAUCAGACGAGGAUACCCGCUGAACUUAA